UAUCAGUGUUUCUGUUGGGGGACAUACAGC
rnacentral:piRNA from 1 species